GGUGGCUCAGUGGUAGAGUGAUCGCCUAGCACGUGCAAGGCCCUGGGUUCAAUCCCCAGCACCA
rnacentral:tRNA from 1 species